ACUCAUGUUUGCCUUUGUUGUUAUUUGUCAUGUCUUGUUGGUUUGUGUCUGUGUCAUGUCAGUCAUGUCCCGUGUUUGAUGUUCCCUUGAGGAGCGUCUGGAAGCCGCUUCUUAAGGGAGGGGUUCUGUCAUGAUUCUGCCCUCGUGUCCUUGAUUUUUCCUAGUCUUGAGGCAGGAUCAUGACAGACCCGUGUUUUGUGUACAAGCACAUGGCCUUGCCUUUGGGCCAUGUGCUUGUGUUGUCUCGUUCCCUUGCCCCGCCCCCCUUGUUAACCUAGUCGUGUCAUGAUUGCUAUCUGUGCCACCUGUCGUGUCUUAAUUGUUCCCCUAUUUAGCUUUCCUAGUGUGCUCUGUCUGGCGUCGGUUCAUUGUGUUCCUACCUGUCAGCCUUGUGAAAGAGUAUUCCCCUUUGAGAUAUUGUAUCCUGUAUAACCGUGAGUGUUAUUUGUAGUUAGUGUUCUCCUGUUUUGAGUCUUUGUUUAAUCAGUCCUAUUUAGUAUUUGUUGUAUCUGCCCUAGUCCUGUUUUCCCCCUCGUGGGUUUUUGUGUUCCCUUUUUGUAAAUAAACCCUUUUGUGUUGCGAAUCCUGUCUGCACUUGAGUUCCUCCCUUACCAAUCCCUGACAGGACAACCCCAAGAUCCGUGAUGUUCUGGCCUGCUAUGAUCCAGACUCUGACAAGGCUGCUCGCACCCUUCUGCUCCUAAUGUUGUACUUCGGAGAGUUUGAUACUUGAAGUUCAUUCAUGUGCCACUGCUGUGGACGUCAAUACUGCAGAACUCCCCAGAACCCCCUGCUUGAUCAUUCAAGGUGACAUGAUGAAGCCCUCUGGAUGGCUUUUGUCAAUCGAGGGACAUGUCGUGAUGGGCCCACACCCUUUAUUUUUACACGGAGUAGCACUUUCUUCAGCAGCUAUUACGUAUUCAACCUUGAGUAUCCUACCGCUGGAUCUUCGACGCUGGAGUUCAUUCAAAGGUGCUUCCUGGGCAUCAAUCCUGAAAGAGGCUCAAAGACCAAGAAGCGGACAACAAUGAACCCUCAUGUGAGCACCCUUUUGAGGAAACUUAUUGACUUUGAGUGGGCACCAUAGUUUUUUUUUGUUUUUGUUUUUUGCAGCGGUAGUUGUCAGGCUCAGUUUUGAGUAGCCUUGUUCUUUUUGUAAUUUUUCCAGACAACUUUGCACUACAAUGCUGUUGCGUGUGACUCUUUAAGUACUUGGCAUCUGCUGUACAAUUGAAAAAUAUUUUUUUCUUAAUAAAUAUGCCAUUGGGCUAACGUUGA